UAACUCUGGUGCUGUCUGUCUGGAGUAGACAGUUCUCAAAAACUGUUUGACUAUGCAAAAAGGAGAUGAGGGAGGGAAGCCACCAAGACACCCAAGACAACUCUGUAGAAGUUAUAGGCUUCUGUGGCUGUGAAUGGAGAAACUGUGCAUAGUGCAACUUUUGCCUGUUGCACCACCACUCUCAGCCUCAUAGUGAAGUGGAGCAGAAAAGGAUUUUCAUACAACAAAAUGGAUCAAAUC